AACAAACGCUGGCGGCAGGCUUAACACAUGCAAGUCGAACGCAUCCUUCGGGGUGAGUGGCAGACGGGUGAGUAACGCGUGGGAACGUGCCCUUCAGUUCGGGAUAACCCAGGGAAACUUGGGCUAAUACCGGAUACGUGCGAGAGCAGAAAGAUUUAUCGCUGAAGGAUCGGCCCGCGUCUGAUUAGCUAGUUGGUGGGGUAAUGGCCCACCAAGGCGACGAUCAGUAGCUGGUCUGAGAGGAUGAUCAGCCACAUUGGGACUGAGACACGGCCCAAACUCCUACGGGAGGCAGCAGUGGGGAAUAUUGGACAAUGGGCGCAAGCCUGAUCCAGCCAUGCCGCGUGAGUGAUGAAGGCCUUAGGGUUGUAAAGCUCUUUCACCGAUGAAGAUAAUGACGGUAGUCGGAGAAGAAGCCCCGGCUAACUUCGUGCCAGCCGCCGCGGUAA
rnacentral:rRNA from 1 species